rnacentral:rRNA from 1 species
AACGAACGCUGGCGGCAGGCCUAACACAUGCAAGUCGAGCGCGCCCUUCGGGGUGAGCGGCGGACGGGUGAGUAACGCGUGGGAACGUGCCCUUCUCUGCGGAAUAGCCUCGGGAAACGGAGAGUAAUACCGCAUAGGCCCUUUGGGGGAAAGAUUUAUCGGAGAAGGAUCGGCCCGCGUUGGAUUAGGUAGUUGGUGGGGUAAUGGCCCACCAAGCCGACGAUCCAUAGCUGGUUUGAGAGGAUGAUCAGCCACACUGGGACUGAGACACGGCCCAGACUCCUACGGGAGGGAGCAGUGGGGAAUCUUAGACCAUGGGGGCAAUCAUGAUGUAGCCAUGCCGGGUGAGUGAUGAAGGCCUUAGGGUAGUAAAGCUCGUUCAGCUGGGAAGAUAAUGACGGUACCAGCAGAAGAAGCCCCGGCUAACUCCGUG